AACCAAACACGAGGGGUUAAAGCGGGAUAACUAGAAAAGUUAUUUAAUAAAAACAAACACAAACACACACACACAGUGUGUGUUCUGGAUCGAGCUCAGGGGCGACCAAGAAGGGUCAAACCCUAAUCAACACAAUUUCAUCAAAUUGAAGGGGCAAAUCAAGUCCAAAUCAAAAUCCGAGUAUGAAUUAGUGAUCUCCAUUGAAAAAGGAGUCAUGAGUUUGACGCUUGACAAGCUAGGUGGAGGCUUGGAAAGGAAGCGGGUCAAACGAAGCAAGAAUGGCGGAAAAAGCAUAAUUCCGAUGCAAGGUACUUUUGGAUGCCCGAAGACGAUCAAGCUCAGUGAAGAACCGAACACGAUAAAGAC